UACGGAGGGUGCAAACGUUGCUCGGAAUCAUUGGGCGUAAAGCGCACGUAGGCGGCUCGUUAAGUCGGAUGUGAAAGCCCUCGGCUCAACCGAGGAAGUGCAUACGAAACUGGCGAGCUUGAAUAUGGAAGAGGGUCGCGGAAUUCCCGGUGUAGAGGUGAAAUUCGUAGAUAUCGGGAGGAACACCAGUGGCGAAGGCGGCGACCUGGGCCAAU
rnacentral:rRNA from 1 species